UAAGUCGUCUAUAAAAGCACACCUACACCAAGAGAUGCAUGAGAAGAAUAUAAAAAACCUAAGUGUGGGAGAAUGGAAGCCAACCACCGAGAAACUAAAGCUUAAGCUUGAGACCAUAAACAACCUUCCAAGCGCACAAAGCAUACACAAAGAAAAACACUAUCCGAACCUGGAGUAGCAAAUAUGGCGAAAGGGAGAGCCACUAGAGACGUGAUCAGCGAUGAAAGGUGCAACGAGAUGAGAAAACAAAGAAAAAAAAAGAGACUAACUGAAAUCAACGAACUGUGGAGCCAUCCUUGAGCUAUAAAAAAGAACAUAGAAGUCAGAUCACCAAAAAGCAGAUCUUGAAAAUUAAAACGAGCAGAGACUGUCGAUGGUAAACCAGGAAAACAACAUCAAUGACAACUAAACUUUGAUCUAACCCAACGAGAUGUAGUUUCUAACCUUAGCCAAAAUCGAAAGAAAAAAAUGACCAAUAUUGACCGAAAUAAUAUACAACGCCGUAAGAAACAACCACACAACAUAGAACUAAUAUGUCUGAUCUAUAAAAAAAAUAUCAGAUAAUCUCACAGAAAAAGUAGGUGAGGAAAACAAAAACACGGAGGUGAGUCUUUUCCCAGUAAUGAUAAGAAGCACUACACACCAGAGAGAUAAACAAAAUACAUAAAUGGUGACGGCUCAAGGUCAAAAUAUGGGGGAAAGUGCAAAAAAAUCUAAAAAGAGUAAUAUUCAAAAAUGUGAAAAACUAAAAUACAAUUUUGACGCUGUUAAUCUUAGAAUCAACAAAUGCAAAAAGAUAAAGUUAUUGAAAUUCAAUACAUACAACAACACAUUAUUGAAUAGACAAUCUCAUAAUAUAUUAAUAAAACAUAACAUAAUAAAACAUCAAAUCAUGUUAUUCCCAAUAAAUACUGACCAUAUAAUCAUAUCAUCCAAAAAUCAUAUUUAAGAAUAAUAAAAAAAUAUUGGUUGUGACCCUCCUAAUACAUAUUAAACUUACAAUGAUCAAAAUAAAAUAUAAUUUUUUGAAACAUUAUGAUUUCAUGUUAUAGUACGUAUUAGUUAAUAGAAUAACUAUAAAUUCUUUUUGCUAUUUGUGCAACACUCUUCAUAAAUCUAAAAUAUAAAUAUAUUAACAUUUCAUAUUAACGCUGUCACUUUAAUUUGUUCUACACAUUUAAGACUAGAAUUUUAAACUUAUAUACAUCUAAAGUGCUUUAUAUUUUUAAAAUGACUAACGUAGCUAAAAAUGUCUAAUACUGUAACGCAUUCUAGUAGUAUCCACUACAGCAGCGUACAAAAAAUUCUACGAUCUCUUCUACCAUGUGGUAUAAAGCAUAUGAUAUUAUGCGUUUUGCAAAACUUGGGGCUGAAUAUUCUAUGUAUUGUCAAAUUAAAUGCAAGCAUUUCGACUGUAUAUGAUAGUUAUAUCUAUACUAUACUAAAAGUUGCAUAUCCUGAGUCCUAAAGCUAUCCACGUAGGAUUAAAAAAUUAACCUAUCAUAAAGCUCCAAUUCACCAUGUCAUUGCUUCUUUUUUCGAAAUGAAAGUCAUUACGUAAUGGGCUUGAUCGUUUGGCAUGGGGUUGGGCUUUGGACUUGGUAUGUUCGAGAGAAACGAAGGUCGUAUUUUUCUUUUAACAACUAAGAAGGUCGUCUCUCUUCUACCUGCAACGGCGCCCGAUGCUGUUUGGGAUUCUUUUCACCGUCUGAAACGAUCUGCGUAAAGGUUUCGUAAUUAAUUACAUUGAUUCGCUCUCGCUCCCCCCCACUAUGUGUCUUUGUCCUCUCCUUGAUCUAUCUUAUCUUUGUAACACUUAUAUCUCAUACUGAUUACUUUCGAAAUAUCUUAUGGCUUCAGAUGACAUGAUUAGCUGAAGAUGUUUUUGAAUUGUGUGCAGUGUUCUUCACGGGGUGAUAAACAGAGCAACAGAUAGAGGAAUAAAACCUCUUCAUGUGGCUGCUCUAAAGCGACACAUAGAGAGGAUGCAGUUAUUCUUGGAUUUGGGAGCUUUUGUUGCUCAUAUCACUAGAAGAUGGAACCUCAAUAGAUUUUAUAGGUUAUUCUUCUAAAGGAGAUCUAUAAAUCUAUAUAUAUUUAUAUUUGUGAGAUUUAUAACUCUAAAUUACGUCUGUAGGUUUAUCUGUAUACUGUGGAGAUUCUGAAAAGUACAUAAUAAAACUGUCACAGGUUUGCCUUAAUCAAGUUUGUUGUUUUAUAUCCUGUUGUUAGUUGAGCAAGUAAUGUUGCUAAGGUAUAUAUGUUAUUUAUUCUCACGAUCUAUUGCCAAUAUUUUCACUUGCUUAAAGGUUGCUGAAAAUAUAUAUAUUCCUACUUUCACAUCUGGAAAGCAUGAAGUUCUCAAUUUUUGAGGUUGUAUUUCCCCAUCUGAGUGUGUGAGGGUGUAGCAACAUGGUAGAAGUUUGCUGGAGGGAUUUACAAAGACUCAGAUGAGAAGUUUUGAGGUCACAAAAGGAGAGAUAACUCCAGCUGGAACAACAAGGGAGUAGAAACAAAGUAAUUGAGUAGGAGAGAAUGGAAAGCUUUCAAAUACACAGAUUUUCUUCUGAUGAUUCAGAAGAGAAAUGUAGACGACGCUUGCUACCUCGGCGAUCCAACGGUCCAUGAGUUCCAAGAAGCUUGCUCUGAGCACCACCUCCUGAAAGGCUAAGGCGUUGGAGGACAAGCCUUCUUGACCAAUGGUCCUUGCUUCUCACCUGAUGUCUCUAACUACAAGAAGUCAGAGUACCCUCACUCUCACCACACUAAUAUGUUCGGUCUGCACGGCGCCGUUGCGAUACGCCUGAGAUGCAUCCACACUGGGGAUGCUGAUUUCGUCUUGGAGUUUUUUUUGCCUAAGGACUGUGAUAAUAUGGAGGAGCAGAGGAAAAUGUUGAACGCUCUUUUGACCAUUUUGGCUCAUGUGCCUAGGAGCUUGAGGACUGUUACGGAUAAGGAGCUCGAAGAAGAGAGUGAAGUGGUGGAAAGGGAGGAGGUAGUGACGCCUAAGAUAGAGAACACAUCAGAGCUACAUCAUAGUAAUCCUCAGAAUCUUGGAUUUGUGUUUGAUGGAGGAGACAAGCUGCCAAAUGAUGGUUUUGGUUUGAAAAGAGGUUAUCACUACACUAAAGAUACUAAUAUCAAUGAGAGCAACACUUUUCACCAGUGGUGGUUUUAAUAGUAUGGCUGAGAAGAAGCGUACAAAGGCAGAUAAAACCAUCACUUUGGAUGUUCUUAGACAGUACUUCGCUGGGAGUCUUAAAGAUGCAGCCAAGAGUAUUGGUGGUAAGCAGCAUUUGAUUUAGUUUUUGUCUGAAUGUCCUAAAAAUGUUUUCAUAUAAAACCAUGACAUUUUCAUAUAAAAAUGUUUUUUUCUUCUUUAAGAAAAUCUAUGUGUAGUUAACACAUAAACCAUUAUUCCCAUGUUUGUUUCGCAGUGGUAUUGUUGUGUCGAUGGUGAUGCAAUAUGCAGAGAAUAUUGUAAAGGUAAGAAACUGGCAAAUGCAUAUUCAGUUCGCCAGCAGAUUCCCUUAAGUAGUAGUCACUUUUGUAUAUAAGGUUUAACGUUUAUCAAUAUGUACGUAGGUUUAUUCAACAUUAGUGCCACUGCUUCUCACUGCAGUUGUCUUUGUAUACUUAUUCAGUUUUCAUGUUUCAUUAACCUUCUUCCUGGGCUCAAGUAAGUUAACUGCAUUUGCCUCUGUUCUGUCAAUACAAUCCAUCUAACCAUUUCACAUAAAGUAGCCUAACAUACGAGCUGAUGUUUACUGUGUUCGCACUUUGCAGGAGAUGUGAAAUGGUCUACUGGAAUCUUUUAGGAUGAAAUGUAUAUAUUGUUAUGUAAUUUUUUUGUCCUAUUGAUAUGUAAAGCAAAACAAAGGAGUUU